rnacentral:rRNA from 1 species
AUGGCCUCACCCUUCCUUCCUUGCAACCAACCCCCUGCCACCGUGCACCCUUCUCCCAUGGCGAUGGCGAUGGCGAUGGCUAGAGAGAUGGAUCUAGGCAUCUGGCCCCGCCAGAUCGAGGCGCAGGCCCGCUGGCCGGACGGCGGCAACGUACCUCCCCUCCAUGUCCAGAUGGGAAACAGCACGGUCAAGGUACGGUGGCUCCCGGAGACUCUCACGGCGGCCGGGCCGGGCUCCCCCAGCUAG